AGUUUCUUUGUUUGCCAGAGCACUUUAGAUAAGACCAUGGACACAGAUUUCUUGACAGAUGAGCAGAUGGAGCAAACAGAACAGAGGUCAUCAUGUUUAUUUCCAUCGGAGAGCUCUCAUUUCGUUCAGAAAACAGAAGAACCAUCUGCAGUUACACUGUACGAGCAGCAAAGAAAAGCAGAAGACCAGAGAGGUUUGCUGGAAGCGUUGGCCCGUAUAGAACAGGAC